rnacentral:lncRNA from 1 species
GUAGAUGCGUAAUUUGGCGUUGGAAUUUCCAAAAUGUCUGCCGUUACCAUGGAAACAGUGCAUAAGUGUCAAAAUGCUCUAAAAACCUCAGGGUUUGGUCAAUAAUUUUGGUAUGCUUGAACUUGAAAUCAUCAAAUUUUUACACAAUAUAGUUGUCCACUAUAUACAGCUUUUGAAUGAUUUUGACAAUCAUUGGAACUCUUCUGUUACCAUGGAUACAGGAC